rnacentral:rRNA from 1 species
AUGGCGGCACACGAGGCCUCUGCCGGCGGCGGCGAGGGCGCGCGCUGCACUCCUCCGCGCCCCGCGCUCUCGCUACCCCCGCGCUCCGCCGUCGAAUCCUUCUUCGGCUCUGGCGCCACCGCCGCGUCCUUUGCCGAGACCAGCCCCGGCCCGUUCACCCUCGCCGCCGCGCUCUUCCCGGACAUGCCCUCCUCGGCCUUCCACGGCUCCUUCACCCAGCUCCUUGUCGGCGCCAUGGGCUCCCCAGCCGCACCCCCUUCCCCUCCCUCACCGUUCGCCGUGCCACCGGGGCUCAGCCCCACCGCUCUCGUCGGCCCCUUCCCCCCUACGGGGAAUUUUGAAAUGUCCCAUCAGCAAGCGUUAGCCCAAGUAACAGCACAAGCAGUCCAUUCUCAGUAUACUGUAGGCAGUCAAGCAGAUUACUCACUCCCUUUCUCAUCGGCAACAACAUCAGCUUUGACAUCACAGUUCAUCAACUCUUCUGCAAAUGUGACAUCAAUGAAGGAGACAGCAACUCUGCCACUGCAUACAGUUAAUGAUAACCUUAAGUCAAAUGAGGUUUCACAAGGAUUCCAAACUUCGGCCCUCACCGUGGAUAAACCUGCUGAUGAUGGGUACAAUUGGCGAAAGUAUGGCCAGAAGGCAGUUAAGGGUGGAGAGUAUCCAAGGAGCUACUAUAAAUGCACCCAGGCGAGCUGUCCAGUUAAGAAGAAAGUGGAGCACUCAGCAUAUGGACAGAUUACUCAAAUAAUUUAUAGAGGCCAACAUAACCACCAGCGUCCACCAAAAAGGAGGUCCAAAGAUGGUGGCAAUUUACUAAAUGAAGAUGAUUUCCCUGAGAACAGAGACACUUUGACUCGAUCAGAACCAGGCUCUCAAGAUCAUUCUGGAAAAGUUGAGGUAUCAAAUGAUGGCAUCACAGGGUCUUCAAUUUCUAAGAGGAGAGACGGAGGUGAUCAAUCGUCUGGCUCAAGUGAUCGAGAGGAGGACAAUGAUGAAGCAGGUGAUGACAAUGGAGAUGCCGGUAUUGUGAAUGCAAACAAAAGGCAUGUGCCGGCGCCAGCUCAAAGAAUCAUCGUGCAAACAACCAGUGAAAUUGAUCUUUUGGAUGAUGGCUACCGGUGGCGCAAGUACGGGCAGAAAGUGGUAAAAGGGAAUCCUCAUCCAAGGAGUUACUACAAAUGCACGUACCAGGGAUGCGAUGUAAAGAAGCAUAUCGAAAGAUGUUCGCAAGACCCAACGGCGGUGAUAACUACAUAUGAAGGCAAGCAUAGCCAUGAUGUGCCAGCAGCUAGGAGCAGCGUGGCUGCUGCUGCCAGUGCCAAUGCAUCCUCUUCCAUUAGCUUACUACAUAGAGGGCAGAAGGCAGCAUCUAGUAGCCAACGGGUGUUGCCCAGAGCAGCACUACAUACAUCAGAUUCUUCCUUGCAGCUAAAAGAAGAAAACGAGAUAACAUAA